CUGAAGAUCCUGAGGUGACUCUGAAGUUUCCUUGCUGCGCUGCAUCGUGUCAUCAGUCAUCUCAUCCUUCAUUUCAAGAGUUUUGGUGACCAUCCGUUGACCCUGCCAAACCUCUGAAACAAUGGCAGGAGAAACUAAGGUGUUCAAUGAUCCCAUCCAUGGCAAUAUCGAGCUGCACCCAGUCCUUGUCAAGAUCAUCGACACGCCUCAGUUUCAGCGACUUCGAAACAUCAAGCAGCUUGGCGGAGCAUAUUACGUUUAUCCUGGAGCGUCCCACAACCGCUUUGAACACAGCAUUGGGGUGGCGCACUUGGCUGGAGAACUUCUUCA